AGAGAAGCCACUGACAGCACAGGCCAAGGCGGAGACGGUGGAGGAACAGGGUGGUGAAUCCUCAAUUAACGGGAUGCUCAGGGAAGCCAUGCAGGCUGCGUAAAGCUGUUGUGAAAGGCCGCAUUUAGAAUAGACGCAGCAGCCUCUCAGCGCUAUCACUAACUUCAGCAGGCAGAAAGGCAGUUUCAGAGUUCUAGUCAGUGGUGAGAUGGGAGAUUAUUUCCUCUGGAAACCCUGAAUCUGUCUCUCUGAAAGCAUCUUCAUACUGUUAAAGGACUUGCUUAAUGGUAUGGCUCAGAGGUUCCAAAACUCAGUUUCUGAAACUAAUUCAAAAUGUGCGCUCAAGAAACAAAAGGAAAGAAACAAUCACGAGCAAAAAUACCAAAGACAUAAUGAUUUCAACUAAUGUCAAAUUCCCCGAGGAACCAGGGAGCUUGUCAAUAUUUGGGGAAAGGUGAAAGAACAUAGAAUAUCCUUUUUUCCGAGUAAUAUUAUUGAAUUUAAUAAUUUAGUGGAAAUGUUCAUUUAAUUAUGCAUUAAUGGGUAUGUAGUGAUCAUUUUUACAAAGUGCCAGGCGUGGUUGCUAGGCACAAGAGCUACUAAGAAGAAAGACACACCUCUGAAGUUAAAGAACAUUUAUUAGUCUUCUUGGAGUGAAUACCAAAACUUCCUGUGAUAAGACACAGACACCAGAAAGCUUUAAAAGAGUGAUUUAAGGAGGUAACCAGCACUUGCAGCCAACACUAUUAUGACUCCCUCAAGAUGUACACACACUGGAAUAAGCAUAAACAUUUACAAGGACAGGAAAAUUGAAUUCCUGAAAAUAUAUACCAAGCUGUAUUUUCACAAAUAAUCUUGUUUAUAGAUGCAUCAAUAUUCCUUGAGACUUGUUUGCAAUCACAGUUGUCCUCAGAGUUUUGAAGGCUUGUCAGAUGUUAAAGGAUUAGCCUUGGUCAGUAUAACUCUAGGAUAUUAACAUUCACUGGGCACCUACAUCUGAUUGGAAUCAUGCUAGGGGCUAGAGAAACAAAGAGAAGACACAUCCCUUUUCCCCUAGGCCUCAGAGUCUAAAGGGGGAGAGAAGCAAGUAAACACUCCAUUACAGUAAGUCCAUAUUGUAACUGGCAGGACAGACAUACACACAACCUGCUGUAGGAGCCAAAGGACGAGACUCUACAACCACGAGAUUGAGUAACCAGGAGACUGUCCGCAGCUCGUGUCUAAAUGCCUAGCUGAAAUCCAGAGAUGUCCAGCAGAGGAAUGGGUCAGAAUUGUCAGCAUCCUCAUAGAUGGUACACGCUUCUCCAGCUACCGUUAGUCCAGGAGGCACCUUACGCUUGAUCGUCACUCUCCGAUACUGGCCUCUGCCACCUUCCACAGUUGUGAAAUUUCCUUCCUCUUCCUCUUCUUUCUGCCAUGGUUUUUCUUUUUUUCUUUGAAGUUAAAUAGUGCAUUUUAUUGCAAAUACAAAAAUUUUCUGUUAUGA
rnacentral:lncRNA from 1 species